rnacentral:tRNA from 1 species
GGUUCUAUAGUGUAGUGGUCAUCACAUCUGCUUUUCACGCAGAAAGUCCUGGGUUCAAUCCGCAGUGGAACCA